rnacentral:rRNA from 1 species
UACGUAGGUGACCAGCGUUGUCCGGAUUUACUGGGCGUAAAGAGCGCGCAGGCGGUCGUUCAAGUCGCGUGUGAAAGCCCCCGGCUCAACUGGGGAGGGUCACGCGAUACUGAUCGACUCGAAGGCAGGAGAGGGAAGUGGAAUUCCGGUGUAGUGGUGAAAUGCGUAGAUAUCGGGAGGAACACCAGUGGCGAAGGCGACUUCCUGGCCUGUUCUUGACGCUGAGGCGCGAAAGCUAGGGGAGCAAACGGGG